rfam:Schistosoma haematobium scaffold2507_8, whole genome shotgun sequence.
AGCUUUUCGAAUCCGUGCAGAGAUUUCGUCAGACACCAAUCCAUUAGUGCUGAUCAAACUUCUAAGGUAAGUGAAGUU